ACACUUUACAAUGCGGGAAACCGCGAUAAGGGAACCCCGAGUGCCAGCAUCAAAUGUUGGCUGUCCAGAUGAUUAAAAAUCAUUUGUUAGCAAGGGCCGGGCAAGACCGGUGCCAGCCGCCGCGGUAACACCGGCGGCCCGAGUGGUAGCCGUUUUUAUUGGGUCUAAAGGGUCCGUAGCCGGCCUGAUAAGUCCUUUGGGAAAUCUGGCAGCUUAACUGUCAGGCUUCUAAGGGAUACUGUCAGGCUUGGGACCGGAAGAGGUAAGGGGUACUCCAGGGGUAGGAGUGAAAUCUUGUAAUCCCUGGGGGACCAUCUGUGGCGAAGGCGCCUUACCAGAACGGGUCCGACGGUGAGGGACGAAAGCUAGGGGAGCAAACCGGAUUAGAUACCCGGGUAGUCCUAGCUGUAAACGAUGCUCRCUAGGUGUCAGACACGGUGCGACCGUGUUYGGUGCCGCAGGAAGCCGUUAAGCGAGCCACCUGGAAGUACGUCGCAAGGC
rnacentral:rRNA from 1 species